rnacentral:rRNA from 1 species
UCCCAGUUCGGAUCGCAGGCUGCAACCCGCCUGCGUGAAGUCGGAAUCGCUAGUAAUCGCGGAUCAGCAUGCCGCGGUGAAUACGUUCCCGGGCCUUGUACACACCGCCCGUCACACCAUGAGAGUCGGGAACACCCGAAGUCCGUAGCCUAACCGAAAGGGGGGCGCGGCCGAAGGUGGGUUCGAUAAUUGGGGUGAAGUCGUAACAAGGUAUC